rnacentral:rRNA from 1 species
ACGAAAGAUCGGUAGGGGAGCACAGUAAAUACGAUUGAAGCUGUGUUGUCAAACACAGUGGAGUUAUUACAAAAGAAAAUGUAGGUAUAAGUAACGAUAAUGCGGUUGAAAAAUCCGCACACCGAAAUAUCGAGGUAUUCCUCAGACUAUGUUAAUCAGCUGAGGGUUAGAUCCGAACCUAAGGCAAAGCCGAAAGGCGUAGAUCGAUGGUAAAGACAGUUAAUAUUCUGCUACUUGCUUAUAUUGCGAUGGGGUGACGAAGUCAUAAAAUAUGUCAGCGUACUGACGGAAGUGUACGUUUAAAUAACGGGGUAUAGACAUAUAUAGGAAAAUCCGUAUGUGUUGCUUACGUAUGAAAGUACCGGAUAGUACAACUAAAACUUCCAAGAAAAACCUCUAAGCACUUAAAAAUAGGAAUUCGUACCACAAACCGACACAGGUAGUUAGGGAGAGGAUCCUAAGGUGUUCGAGUGAAUCACGGCUAAGGAACUAGGCAAAAUAGACCUGUAACUUCGGAAAGGGUUGCCUCUAAUCAAAGAGCCGCAGCGAAAAGAUCCAGGCGACUGUUUAUCAAAACACAGACUCUGCUAAUCGAAGAUGAAGUAUAGGUCUGACACCUGCCAGUGCUGAGGUAGGAAGGGUAGUUUUAGUGAAGCUCUUGACCGAAGCCCCAGUAAACGGCGGCCGUAACUAUAACGGUCCUAAGGUAGCGAAAUUCCUUGUCGGGUAAGUUCCGACCUGCACGAAUGGUGUAACGAUCUGGAUACUGUCUCGGCCGUGAGC